rnacentral:rRNA from 1 species
UACGAAGGGGGCUAGCGUUGUUCGGAAUCACUGGGCGUAAAGCGCACGCAGGCGGAUUGAUAAGUCAGGGGUGAAAUCCCGGGGCUCAACCUCGGAAUUGCCCUUUGAUACUGUCUGUCUUGAGUUCGGGAGAGGUUGGCGGAAUUCCUAGUGUAGAGGUGAAAAUUCGUAGAUAUUAGGAAGAACACCAGUGGCGAAGGCGGCCAACUGGCCCGAUACUGACGCUCAUGUGCGAAAGCGUGGGGAGCAAACAGGG